rnacentral:rRNA from 1 species
GACGAACGCUGGCGGCGUGCUUAACACAUGCAAGUCGAACGGAAAGGCCCUGCUUUUGUGGGGUGCUAGAGUCGCAAACGGGUGAGUAACACGUGAGUAACCUGCCCAUGACUUUGGGAUAACUUCAGGACACUGUUGAUAACACCGGCUAGGAGCUCCUGCUGCCUGGUGGGGGUCGGAACGUUCCGGCGGUUGGGGAUGGACGCGCGGGUUAUCAGCUUGUUGGUGGGGUAUCUGCUUACCAUGCCAUUGACGGGUGGGCCGCAUGGGAGGGUGGCCGGGGACCAUGCGACUGCGGGACGGCCCAGACUCCUACUGUAGGCAGAAGUGGGGAAUAUUGCACAAUGGUCGGAAGCCUGAUGCAGCAACGCCGGGUGCGUGAUGACGGCCUGGGGGGAGUAAACCGCUUUCGGCUAAGACGAAGCGUGGGUGACGGUAAUGGGUAAAGAAGCACCGGCUAACUACGUG